AAGCUUAUGCGCUCCUUACGGAGGUGGGC
rnacentral:sRNA from 1 species